UACGUAGGGGGCUAGCGUUAUCCGGAAUUACUGGGCGUAAAGGGUGCGUAGGUGGUUUUUCAAGUCAGGAGUGAAAGGCUACGGUUCAACCGUAGUAAGCUCUUGAAACUGUAAAACUUGAGUGCAGGAGAGGAGAGUAGAAUUCCUAGUGUAGCGGUGAAAUGCGUAGAUAUUAGGAGGAAUACCAGUUGCGAAGGCGGCUCCCGGGACUGUAACUGACACUGAGUCACGAUAGCGUGGGGAGCAAACAGG
rnacentral:rRNA from 1 species